rnacentral:lncRNA from 1 species
AAAUCUCUCAAUUAACUGAUUAAAUCCAGAAAUCAUCCAGUCAAAUACUCACAAGAGCACAUACACGUUUGCACGUCCAACAAGUGCACAUACAAUCAAAAACAGAUACACAAGCACCAAAACUUGGUGGCAACAUCAACUAAAACUAUGGCGCGCAUCUCCAAGCUUCUUCUGAUCUUCUAUCAUAGCAGCAGCAGCCUCGACAACAUUAGAUCCUGAUCCAGAUAAGCUAUUAGUGAAAUACACUGGAAGUAAAUAAUAUUCUUUCAAGAGGCUAAAAUUUAUACAUACAUGCCCAAAUGCCCCAAUUCAGUAAACACUAAGCAUGGCAUAACAAAACUUCCAACAACUUGAAUGCAACAGAUUAACCUGAUGUUGUUCUACAAUA